rnacentral:rRNA from 1 species
UCUAAGCGGGAAGCCCCCCUCGAAACCAGGUCUCGCUUGAGAGCCGUGGAAGACCACCACGUUGAUAGGCCGGGUGUGGAAGUGCAGCAAUGCAUGAAGCUAACCGGUACUAAUCGCUCGAUAGGCUUGAUCGC